rnacentral:rRNA from 1 species
CUACUGGAAUGUACUUUCCUUUAAAAGCAAUGCCUAAGGAUGAGUUGGCGGCAGAUUAGGUUGUUGGUGGGGUAAAGGCCCACCAAGCCAGAGAUCUGUAGGGGCCUUGAAAGAGGUAUCCCCGAGAAGGGCACUGAGACACUGGCCCUAGCCCCACGGGGUGCAGCAGGCGCGAAACCUUUACAAUGCACGAAAGUGUGAUAAGGUAACCCUAAGUGCUUACCUUUUGGUAGGCUUUUUGCCAAAAUUAAACCCUUUGGCGAAUAAGUGGUGGGCAAGACGGGUGCCAGCCGCCGCGGUAACACCCGCGCCACGAGUGGGAAUCAGCAUUAUUGGGCCUAAAGCGUCCGUAGCCGGUUUAACAAGUCUUUUGUGAAAUCGUUGGGUAGAAUUCAACGACGUGCAAAAGAAACUGUUAAACUUGGAACCGGGAGGAGUCAGAGGUAUUUCGGGGGUAGCGGUAAAAUGUUAUAAUCCUCGAAGGACCACCUGUGGCGAAGGCGUCUGACUAGAACGGAUUCGACGGUGAGGGACGAAAGCCGGGGGAGCAAUCCGGAUUAGAUACCCGAGUAGUCCUGGCUGUAAACUCUGCGAGCUAGGUGUUGCACAUUCUUCGUGAAUGUGCAGUAUCGAAGUGAAGAUGAUAAGCUCGCCGCCUGGGAAGUAUGGUCGCAAGACUGAAACUUAAAGGAAUUGGCGGGGGAGCACUACAAGGGGUGCGGCGUGCGGUUUAAUCUAACUCAACACAGAGAAUCUCACCAGAAGCGACGGCAGGAUGAAAGUCAGAUUGAAGGUUUUACUUGACGAGCCGAGAGGUAGCGCAUGGCCGUCGUCAGCUCGUGCCGUAAGGUGUCCUGUUAAGUCAGGUAACGAGCGAGACCUGCACUCACAAUUGCUAACAACUAGUCUCUAGGAUUGAGCACAUUGUGAGGACUGCCUUCGUAAGGAGGAGGAAGGUGCAGGCAACGGUAGGUCUGUAUGCUCCGAAUCUUCUGGGCUACACGCGCGCAACAAUGGUGAUGACAAUGGGAUGCGACUCCGAAAGGAAAAGCUAAUCCUCGAAACAUCAUCUCAGUCCAGAUUGAGGAUUGUAACUCAUCCUCAUGACGUUGGAAUCCCUAGUAAUCGGAAUUCAACAUAUUCCGGUGAAUAUGUCCCUGCUCCUUGCACACACCGCCCGUCAAACCACCCGAGUAGGGUCUAGAUGAGGCCUUAUUUUUAAUAAGUUCGAAUCUAGGCUUUGCGAGGAGGGUUAAGUCGUCACAAGGUA